rnacentral:lncRNA from 1 species
CCUACUGUCCUUCGGCUUCUGCUGGAGUCUUUUGUUUUGUAAUGUAGUUGUGUCCGUUUGAUACGGUACACCUCUUCUGCUCCGUUACCUACUGUCCUUCGGCUUCUGCUGGAGUCUUUUGUUUUGUAAUGUAGUUGUGUCCGUUUGAUACGGUACACCUCUUCUGCUCCGUUACCUACUGUCCUUCGGCUUCUGCGCGAGUCUUUUGUUUGGUUGGGACGAGUGUUUUGUCACUCUUUGCCCACGUAAUUGCUCCUGAUACGGAGCUGAAUUGUACUGUAUUGUACGAUAGUUAUCGUAUUAUGACCUGUUUGUUGAGGAUUGGAUUCCUGUCUUUGUGUCGCUCCUGACACUAUCCAUCCUCGUUUCGUGUUUUGAGUGGGUAGGCCGCUACUUACUUGGUCGAUACCCUCCUCGUAUAUGUAACUGUUGUAUGUUCUUUGGUAGUACUAACGCCUUUUUUUUUUCUUAUAAUGCUAUUGUUCCUAGUUUUCUCUUUAUUUUACUUUUCUAGAAAUAAAUGAUAUAAUUUCCCGGCAGUGUCCGUGUUAAAUUUGUUGUUUUGUUAAUUCGUAUUGUUUCCUCAAACAACACAAUUUCGUAAUUUCUGAUGCGACAGCUGUAUUCUAAUUAUUAAUAUGUUUAUAAAUAUAAUGUAAAUACGACAAUUAAUUACGAGUACAUGGUUUUUGUAAUCGUAUAGUUACAUUUGUGUUAUAUAAUAUGGAAAUCUGAUUACUAUUUUAACCCUGUAUAGAUAAAAAAGAAUGUAGAAAGUACGACAAGAAGAAGAUAAAGAAAAUGGACAAAUAAGGCAAUUUUUAUUAAUUUAAUUUUAAAAUUAGAGUAGUAAAAUAUACAUUCAUUAAAACUUAAUACAGAAGAAAAUGCAAAA